GGAAUAUAAGAAUCCGUUUCUUAAUUUUUAACUAGAAAAGCUAAGAACCGAUUCUUAAAUAAGAGUUUUAAGAACCGGUUCUUAACUUUUUUAAUUAAAAGUUAAGAGACAGAUUUUUAUAUUCC
rfam:Brassica oleracea var. oleracea cultivar TO1000 chromosome C5, whole genome shotgun sequence